CGAUGAUCCUCAGCUUGCUGGGGGGAUUAGUGGCGAACGGGUGAGUAACACGUGAGUAACCUGCCCUUGACUCUGGGAUAAGCCUGGGAAACUGGGUCUAAUACUGGAUAUGACCUUCCAUCGCAUGGUGGUUGGUGGAAAGCUUUUGUGGUUUUGGAUGGACUCGCGGCCUAUCAGCUUGUUGGUGGGGUAAUGGCCUACCAAGGCGACGACGGGUAGCCGGCCUGAGAGGGUGGACGGCCACACUGGGACUGAGACACGGCCCAGACUCCUACGGGAGGCAGCAGUGGGGAAUAUUGCACAAUGGGCGCAAGCCUGAUGCAGCGACGCCGCGUGAGGGAUGAAGGCCUUCGGGUUGUAAACCUCUUUCAGUAGGGAAGAAGCGUAAGUGACGGUACCUGCAGAAGAAGCGCCGGCUAACUACGUGCCAGCAGCCGCGGUAAUACGUAGGGCGCAAGCGUUAUCCGGAAUUAUUGGGCGUAAAGAGCUCGUAGGCGGUUUGUCGCGUCUGCCGUGAAAGUCCGGGGCUUAACUCCGGAUCUGCGGUGGGUACGGGCAGACUUGAGUGAUGUAGGGGAGACUGGAAUUCCUGGUGUAGCGGUGAAAUGCGCAGAUAUCAGGAGGAACACCGAUGGCGAAGGCAGGUCUCUGGGCAUUAACUGACGCUGAGGAGCGAAAGCAUGGGGAGCGAACAGGAUUAGAUACCCUGGUAGUCCAUGCCGUAAACGUUGGGCACUAGGUGUGGGGGACAUUCCACGUUUUCCGCGCCGUAGCUAACGCAUUAAGUGCCCCGCCUGGGGAGUAC
rnacentral:rRNA from 1 species